GUUGGUUCAAAAAUUUUUCUUUUAAAACAAGUUAAUUUUUAAUUAGUAUUAUUAAUAUAAUUUCACUUGUGUAAUUCAAUAUUGGUCUAUAUGAGAUGGUUACAGCAUGCCAAUCAUACGUCAAAUCUAACUGGAAGCUUCACCUUCGGCGUAAACCCUAUUAAUCUUCAAUGGACGAGAAGGGAGAAAUUCGGUGACCAUUUAAUUAGCUAAAUGAAUUACAUGAUGAUCAAUAAAUUUGCAUUCAUUAAGUAAAUGUAGUCAGCAAAGUAA